rnacentral:rRNA from 1 species
GGCUUAGAGUUUGAUCCUGGCUCAGGACGAACGCUGNCGGCGUGCUUUAACACAUGCAAGUCGAGGGGGGGUAGCAAUACCUCACCGGCGAACGGGUGCGUAACACGUGAGCAACCUACCGAUGUCUGGGGGAUAGCCGGCCCAACGGCCGGGUAAUACCGCAUACGCUCUUUGGGGGGAGUCCCCUGGAGAGGAAACCCUUUCGGGGGGGAGAUCGAGGGGCUCGCGGCCUAUCAGCUAGUUGGUGCGGUCACGGCGCACCAAGGCUAUGACGGGUAGCUGGUCUGAGAGGAUGGCCAGCCACAUUGGGACUGAGAGACGGCCCAGACUCCUACGGGAGGCAGCAGUGGGGAAUCUUGCGCAAUGGUCGAAAGACUGACGCAGCGACGCCGCGUGCGGGAGGAAGCUCUUCGGGAUGUAAACCGCUGUUGCCCGGAACGAAACCACCUUGG